AGUCAACCGUCGACGAUGAGUCUCAGAUGGACCAAGAAUUUGUUCACCCACGAUUGUUCAACCAGAGAAAGAAUUUGACACGCGGAAGUUGAUGCUACCAAUAUCCAUCGUGAUCCUACGAUGGACAUAGAUAACAGUAUUACAAAAGUUCGAGAUUUUAAGCUAAGUAAAUGAAUUUGUUAAUGUUAUUCUCGUCCCGUUUCAUAUACUUAUGGUCAAUAAGUAAUUCAAUUUGUUCUUUUAUCAUUUUUUUCUGUGGAAUAAACAUGUUCUUUAAAAUUUCAA